CCUGAAUGCUCCUUGACCAAGUCUUUAAGA
rnacentral:piRNA from 1 species